UCUCUUAUGCCCGGAGAAUGGCUCUUGCUUGAUAUAAGCAGUCGGACGCUGCUUGCAUGGCAUGAGGUCUGUGCUUAUCCUCAUGUUUCAUGGCUGGUCUUAUUACGCAGUCUGAGUAAGCACACAAUCUGUACAAGGAGGUUAGGGCAUAUUUUUAAGAC
rnacentral:ncRNA from 1 species